rnacentral:rRNA from 1 species
CAUUUUGAUUUUGCUUGCAAAAUCUCGUGCUGACGAGCGGCGAACGGGUGAGUAACGCGUAGGAAUCUACCUAGUAGAAGGGGAUAGCCCGAGGAAACUCGGAUUAAUACCGUAUACGUCCUUAGGGAGAAAGAGGGCUUAGCUUUGAUGCUCUCGCUAUUAGAUGAGCCUGCGUAAGAUUAGCUUGUUGGUGAGGUAAAGGCUCACCAAGGCGACGAUCUUUAGCUGGUCUGAGAGGACGAUCAGCCACAUUGGGACUGAGACACGGCCCAGACUCCUACGGGAGGCAGCAGUGGGGAAUAUUGGACAAUGGGCGCAAGCCUGAUCCAGCCAUACCGCGUGUGUGAAGAAGGCCUUCGGGUUGUAAAGCACUUUAAGUAAGGAAGAAAAGAGUAUUGUUAAUACCAAUACUCCGUGACAUUACUUACAGAAUAAGGACCGGCUAAUUCCGUGCCAGCAGCCGCGGUAAUACGGAAGGUCCAAGCGUUAAUCGGAAUUACUGGGCGUAAAGCGCGCGUAGGUGGUUUAUUAAGUUGGGUGUGAAAGCCCCGGGCUCAACCUGGGAACUGCAUCCAAAACUGAUUCACUAGAGUACGAAAGAGGAAAGUAGAAUUCACAGUGUAGCGGUGGAAUGCGUAGAUAUUGUGAAGAAUACCGAUGGCGAAGGCAGCUUUCUGGUUCUGUACUGACACUGAGGUGCGAAAGCGUGGGUAGCGAACAGGAUUAGAUACCCUGGUAGUCCACGCCGUAAACGAUGACAACUAGCUGUUGGGAAGCUAUGCUUUUCAGUGGCGCAGCUAACGUCUUAAGUUGUCCGCCUGGGGAGUACGGCCGCAAGGUUAAAACUCAAAUGAAUUGACGGGGACCCGCACAAGCGGUGGAGCAUGUGGUUUAAUUCGAUGCAACGCGAAAAACCUUACCUACACUUGACAUACUUGGAAUCUUUUGUAAUGAAAGAGUGCCUUUUGGAGCCAAGAUACAGGUGCUGCAUG